rnacentral:rRNA from 1 species
CCUGGCUCAGGCCGAACGCUGGAGGCGUGCCUAAUACAUGCAAGUAGAACGCUGAAGGAGGAGCUUGCUUCUCUGGAUGAGUUGCGAACGGGUGAGUAACGCGUAGGUAACCUGCCUGGUAGCGGGGGAUAACUAUUGGAAACGAUAGCUAAUACCGCAUAAUAGUAGAUGUUGCAUGACAUUUGCUUAAAAGGUGCAAUUGCAUCACUACCAGAUGGACCUGCGUUGUAUUAGCUAGUUGGUGAGGUAACGGCUCACCAAGGCAACGAUACAUAGCCGACCUGAGAGGGUGAUCGGCCACACUGGGACUGUGUCACGGACAAGAAGCCUGCUG